AGACGAAGUAACCAGGAAGUGUCCCAGCAAGAUAGUAAUCAGACGUUUCUGCAAGCCAUUCCUGUUAUGAAACAGCUGUGUACCACCCUUGGAAAACUGACAGGGUUCUUUACUGUCUUCAUUGUUGUCAUUGCCGCCGUUUUGACGUAUUUCGACGACCCUGAGACGGAUAAAUACAUCAGCAUGGCUGAGGACAUAAAGACUCUGGAGGAAAACUUCAGGCAGCAAAAUCAAAGCUGCUUCAUCCUCGGCGCCUCUGGGGAAACUGGAAAGGUGCUGGUUCAAGAGCUGCUGGAGCGAAACAUCUUCUCCAAGAUCACUCUCAUCGGAAGGAGACAGCUCACCUUUGAGGGCAAAGCCAAUGAACAAUUGGUACAAGAGGUGGUGGACUUUGAGAAGCUUGAUGAUUAUGCUGCCGCCUUCCAGGGCCAUGAUGUUGGAUACUGCUGCCUGGGAACAACCAAGGCAAAAUCAGGAGCUGAAGGAUUCAUCCGUGUUGAUCACGACUACACUGUAAAAUCAGCCGAGCUCGCAAAGGCAGGAGGAUGCUCUCAGUUCCACCUUCAGUCCUCCAGAGGAGCUGAUAAAAAAAGCAGCUUCCUCUACCUUAAAGUCAAGGGUCAAGUGGAAGCAGAAAUUGAAGCACUGGGUUUUGACCGAUAUUCCGUUUAUCGACCAGGGGUUCUGUUGGUCGACAGGCAGGAGAGUCGGCCUACCGAGUGGCUGGCCAGGAAAUUCUUGAGCGGCUUCACGUCUGUGUGCUCCACGUCCAUGGCCAUCCAAAUCGAAGUGGUGGCCAAAGCUAUGGUGUCAAACACUCUGCUUCAACCGGAGCAGAAGGCGGAGAUCCUGGAGCACAAAGACAUCACGGCUGUGGGAAAGAGUGCAGAGAAAUAAGAGAGAGCAAGAAAUACACUUAGGUGAGACAAAGUAGUAGCUGAUAAACACUGGGUGUUGUAGAACUGUUCCCUGAUAUGUAAUAUGCCCAUAUUGAACUCAAUGACACCAACUCUGAUGAUUAAUGCAUGUUUAACUAGUGUGGCAGUUGAUAAAACAAAGGAAUGGUAACUACCUGCACAACUCUAAUUAAACUCUAAGGUCUUAGUUGUUGUUUUUUUGAGGGGGGGGUCACUUUGUCUGCCGAUUACGCCUUUGCAAUAUUCAAAUGUUGGUACCGAGCAGGAUAUACAUUGUUCCAUAGUGUUUAUAGCAUUUUAUUAUGUAGUGUUGUCAGGUGUGUUUCUUUAUUGUUUGUCUUGCGUCACUUUUAUGUGGGACAACAGAUGGAAAUAAGAGACUUGCUAAAUCUGGUGCAACCAUGUUUUCAUUUUUCUUUGCAUAAAUGAUCAGUGUCAUUGCACACUGUCCCUUGAUAAAUAUAUAUCAUAUAUGUAUAUUCAUUCUCUAAAACAAGGUUUUUUUUUUAACACACCCUUGUACGUCAGCCUCAAAGUUUUCCAAUGAAAUGGUCACUCUACUCCAUGUUUAAUCAGAGAGAAAAACUGAAUGGUUGUAGUUCUCAGAAUGCCAUUCUGUUGUAACUCUGUCAACCAAAUGUUAAUAUAGUUAUAUUUUUUCAUUUCAGGUAAUUUAAGCAGCUACAGAGACGACUCUGCAAAUACAAGUUCAUAUACUCACAUGAUCAUUUAACAUUCAUUCAAGAUUUCUGAACCUGUCAGAAAAUCAAAGGUUGUCUAGAACUGAACUGUUUACAAUCUGCUAAAGUUUUCAUAUUUAUUCUGUGUUCAAGUUUAAUCUCUUUGGUUUUGAAUGGAGUUGUUGUAUUUUUUCAGGGAACUGUUGCCGACUUUUUUCAUGAUCACCAUGUGUGCUCUCAAACAUUGCACUAAACUGCCUUAAAGGAAAUGCUUUUAUUGAAUCUAUACUAGAUUCAUUAUGUAACAUUUCUACGCUUCUAUAAAAUAAUAUAGAUAUUUAACUGUGUUUGAGAAAAACCUAUUUAAAUGUAUCACUAUCAAUGGUAUAUUGUGUCAAUAUGUGCUUUACUAAAUCUGCAAUUUAUGUUAUAUUAAGAGCUAAAGACAAAAUCUGUGCUGUGAUACCGCAUUUUGCAAGUAAUGUUCAUGUUUAUUCAUUUCCUAUCUGACAAAGCAGAUAUAAUGCCAUGCAUAGGACAUACACAUGACUAUAAUUUACAGAGUUGUGAGAAUGUAAUGAAGGGAGCAGUUUCAAAUUAACGCUGCUGCUGAUGUUUUACUUACAUGUUUCUGAAGUUACAUGUUGGACCUAGAAAAUGUUCCACAGCCAAUGUGUCUCAGUUGUUUUGUGAUAAUGAAUUUUUAAAACCAUUGAUGCUAUUUUGGUGCUAUGUUUUUUUUUGGUCAAAGACCAAACAUGUUCUUGAAACCAAAUUGAAACAAUAUCCUAAGAUUGUGUUAGCUAUGUCAAAUAUCCAGAGCAUCAUGUAAAUCACCACAGAAAAUGUGUUGAAUUCAGCAUGCUAAAUUCAAAUUUACAAUAGCUGUUUUUUUCUGCUUCAAUCACUGAAUGUUUGUCUUCUCUGGAUUCUUGUUGUUUUGAUGUAUUUCAUUUCUCCAUUGAAAACACUUGGAAUUUAAAAUAAACUCGCUUGAUUUCCUUUA